AUUGAACGCUGGCGGCAUGCUUUACACAUGCAAGUCGAACGGCAGCGCGGGCUUCGGCCUGGCGGCGAGUGGCGAACGGGUGAGUAAUGCAUCGGAACGUGCCCAGUAGUGGGGGAUAGCCCGGCGAAAGCCGGAUUAAUACCGCAUACGACCUGAGGGUGAAAGCGGGGGACCGAAAGGCCUCGCGCUAUUGGAGCGGCCGAUGUCGGAUUAGCUAGUUGGUGGGGUAAAGGCUUACCAAGGCGACGAUCCGUAGCUGGUCUGAGAGGACGACCAGCCACAUUGGGACUGAGACACGGCCCAGACUCCUACGGGAGGCAGCAGUGGGGAAUUUUGGACAAAGGGGGCAACCCUGAUCCAGCCAUGCCGCGUGCGGGAAGAAGGCCUUCGGGUUGUAAACCGCUUUUGUUCGGGAAGAAAUCCUCUGGGCUAAUACCCCGGGGGGAUGACGGUACCGGAAGAAUAAGCACCGGCUAACUACGUG
rnacentral:rRNA from 1 species